rnacentral:rRNA from 1 species
CCUACGGGAGGCAGCAGUGGGGAAUCUUGCGCAAUGGGCGAAAGCCUGACGCAGCCAUGCCGCGUGAAUGAUGAAGGUCUUAGGAUUGUAAAAUUCUUUCACCGGGGACGAUAAUGACGGUACCCGGAGAAGAAGCCCCGGCUAACUUCGUGCCAGCAGCCGCGGUAAUACGAAGGGGGCUAGCGUUGCUCGGAAUUACUGGGCGUAAAGGGAGCGUAGGCGGAUAGUUUAGUCAGAGGUGAAAGCCCAGGGCUCAACCUUGGAAUUGCCUUUGAUACUGGCUAUCUUGAGUAUGGGAGAGGUUAGCGGAACUCCGAGUGUAGAGGUGAAAUUCGUAGAUAUUCGGAAGAACACCAGUGGCGAAGGCGGCUAACUGGCCCAUUACUGACGCUGAGGCUCGAAAGCGUGGGGAGCAAACAGGAUUAGAUACCCUGGUAGUCCACGCCGUAAACGAUGAGUGCUAGUUGUCGGCAUGCAUGCAUGUCGGUGACGCGAGCUACGACAUAAGUACACCUCCGCCGUCGGGAGGUACGGUCGCGAGAAUAAACUACGAAAGAAGUAGACGCGUGAGACGUCGCGACGACGACGACGAGGGAGAGG